rnacentral:rRNA from 1 species
GAUGAACGCUGGCGGCGUGCCUAAUACAUGCAAGUCGAACGCAUUGUGGUUGAAAUGAUAUGAAGAACUUGUUCAGAUUUGAUUUUCAACAUUGCAAUGAGUGGCGAACGGGUGAGUAACACGUGGGAAACCUACCUCUUAGCAGGGGAUAACAUUUGGAAACAAAUGCUAAUACCGUAUAAUAAUUAAAACCGCAUGGUUUUAGUUUAAAAGAUGGUCUUGCUAUCACUAAGAGAUGGUCCCCGCGGUGUAUUAGUUAGUUGGUGAGGUAAUGGCUCACCAAGACAAUGAUACAUAGCCGAGUUGAGAGACUGACCGGCCACAAUGGGACUGAGACACGGCCCAUACUCCUACGGGAGGCAGCAGGUAGGAAGUCUUCCACAAUGGACGAAAGUCUGAUGGAGCAACGCCGCGUGUGUG